AUGCGCCAUUGUUGAAAACCUGCCCCCUUGUUUUCAUUCCAAGAGAUCGUGGAGUGUGACAUUCGGCCAUUGAGGCCAUGCACGUUUUCGCGGUGACACUCACAUUGUGUGUGGCGUGCCUUCGGGGCUUCCACCGGUGUGGCAUCUUCUAAUAGCCGCGUUGGAUUACCAGCUGUUUAUUGACUCACUAACGGACCCAUCGUAUGAUUUCUGUGUGCAUGUGAUUUACGUGUGUGUGCGCGCGCCGAUAUUAAAUCAGGGAAAUCUCUUUGCUUGCUUUAAAGCAAGGUUGAGCAGCUAUAUUAACAACUUGCUAUCAGAACCACUUGCUAUUUGAGCCACGUCUGCUGCUUUGGAGGAAAUCGAACUGAUUGCUGUGAUUCCAUCCCAUUUGCUGUUCAGGAGAGCUGUUUUAGGGCUCGAGUGGGCCUGAAUGUGUUUUCUUUGGUUUCAUGACUUUGUUUAUCUUAUUUCUUUUUUUUGUAUUUAUCAGUGUUAUCUCUGAUCACAAUUUGUAGUGGAGUGAUUUUCUUUUUUUAAAAUCGUGUUUUCCUUGCUGUGUGCAGCUAUAGCUAGCCUGCUUGUCGGGUGCCUCAGCCCCUGCAGUGAUUUACUUGUUUGUUUGUCUUUUUGUUUACGGAUCGAUAAUUUUAU